AUCAUAUAAUCAUCAUCAUCAUCAUCAGAUCAUCAUAGUCAUCAUCAUCACAUCAUCAUCAUCAUCAUUCCUCUAAAUAUUUUGGUGACCUGAUUCUUUUCCUUUACUAAAUUCAUACCUUGUAUUGAGCAUCCAUUCUAAUGUAUGGAUUAUGAUAAGUAGAUAUUCAUACAACAACUUUUAGUAGUAUAGGAUACUACUUUUUCCUCCAUAUCUAUCUCUGGUAUCAUCAAUAACACGUAAUUUGCAGAACAUCCAAAACUGAAUAUCCAUGAGGAGGGAAGCUGGCGGCUCUUCCAAAUCAUUCAUGUUGAUAGGUUUAUUUGUAAAACUGUUGCUAAAAGUAUCUGAGAUUAUUACGAAAGAGGAAAUUUGUUGUGUAACUCUUGCGAGUACAAUUAAAUUCUAUUUAGGGAAUGAUGGCUCGAGUUAUCUGUUCCAAGCUGGUGUGAAGAUGGUGAUCCUGAAAAAUUGAUUCGAAAUUCCUUUUUUGAGUUCCAAGCCGAUUGUGCCAUUCCUGAUCUUGAGGUUUGUUUAAAUUUAUGAUGGCUAGAAAUAUGUGUUGUUAUUUUUGUGAGGUUGUGUCUUAUAUUGUGAUGAGGUUAUGUAGAUCAGUUGCUAUCUCUAUAAAGUUUCGGGUUACUUCUGAUGAAUAUGAUAUUUUGUAUUAUUGUGUU